UACGGGGGGGGCAAGCGUUGUUCGGAAUUACUGGGCGUAAAGGGCGCGUAGGCGGCCUUCUAAGUCGGACGUGAAAUCCCUCGGCUUAACCGAGGAACUGCGUCCGAGACUGAAAGGCUUGAAUCCGGGAGAGGGAUGUGGAAUUCCAGGUGUAGCGGUGAAAUGCGUAGAUAUCUGGAGGAACACCGGUGGCGAAGGCGGCAUCCUGGACCGGCAUUGGCGCUGAGGCGCGAAAGCCAGGGGAGCAAACGGG
rnacentral:rRNA from 1 species